AAUAUUGGGCGUAAAGCGCGCGCAGGCGGUUUCUUAAGUCUGAUGUGAAAGCCCACGGCUCAACCGUGGAGGGUCAUUGGAAACUGGGAAACUUGAGUACAGAAGAGGAGAGUGGAAUUCCACGUGUAGCGGUGAAAUGCGUAGAUAUGUGGAGGAACACCAGUGGCGAAGGCGACUCUCUGGUCUGUCACUGACGCUGAGGCGCGAAAGCGUGGGGAGCAAACAGGAUUAGAUACCCUGGUAGUCCACGCCGUAAACGAUGAGUGCUAGGUGUUAGGGGUUUCGAUGCCCUUAGUGCCGAAGUAAACACAGUAAGCACUCCGCCUGGGGAGUACGACCGCAAGGUUGAAACUCAAAGGAAUUGACGGGGGCCCGCACAAGCAGUGGAGCAUGUGGUUUAAUUCGAAGCAACGCGAAGAACCUUACCAGGUCUUGACAUCCUUUGACCACUUGAGAGAUCAAGCUUUCUCCUUCGGGAGACAAAGUGACAGGUGGUGCAUGGUUGUCGUCAGCUCGUGUCGUGAGAUGUUGGGUUAAGUCCCGCAACGAGCGCAACCCUUGAUCUUAUUGCCAGCAUUCAGUUGGGCCUCUAAGUGACUGCCGGUGA
rnacentral:rRNA from 1 species